GGGGUGGUUGAAAAGAAAAAAGUCGUAACAAGGUUUCCGUAGGUGAACCUGCGGAAGGAUCAUUGUCGA
rnacentral:rRNA from 1 species